rnacentral:snoRNA from 1 species
AAGCAAUGAGGAUAAAAAAUUUUAUCAGUCAUUAACUGUGGUGACCAAAUACGCUAUUCUGAGCUGUGG